rfam:Triticum aestivum genome assembly, contig: Triticum_aestivum_CS42_TGACv1_scaffold_423741_5BS
UAGUUACUCCCUCCGUUUGGAAUUACUUGUCGUAGAAAUGGAUGUAUCUAGAUGUAUUUUAGUUCUAGAUACAUCCAUUUUCGAGGCAAGUAAUUCCGAACGGAGGGAGUACUUU